AUUGAACGCUGGCGGCAUGCUUUACACAUGCAAGUCGGACGAGUGGCGAACGGGUGAGUAACGCAUCGGAACGUACCGAGUGAUGGGGGAUAACUGUCCGAAAGUACAGCUCAUACCGCAUCUUAUUCGAUAGGCCGAUUUCUGAUUAGCUGGUUGGUGGGGUAAAGGCCCACCAAGGCGCCGAUCCGUAGCGGGUCUGAGAGGAUGAUCCGCCACACUGGAACGGAGACACGGCCCAGAUGCCUACGGGAGGCAGCAGUGGGGAAUUUUGGACAAUGGGCGCAAGCCUGAUCCAGCCAUGCCGCGUGUCUGAAGAAGGCCUUCGGGUUGUAAAGGACUUUUGUCAGGGAAGCGGUACCUGAAGAAUAAGCACCGGCUAACUACGUGCCAGCCGCCGCGGUAAUUC
rnacentral:rRNA from 1 species